rnacentral:rRNA from 1 species
CUUUCUGUAGCAAUACAGGAAGUCGGCGCACGGCGCACGGGUGAGUAACACGUGGGCAACCUGCCCUUUGGAUGGGGGAUACCCCCGCGAAAGCGGGACUAAUACCGCAUGAUAUUCCGAGGACUUCGGUCUUUGGACUCAAAGCCCGCAAGGGCGUCUAAGGAGGGGCCCGCGCCCGAUUAGCUAGUUGGUGAGGUAACGGCUCACCUAGGCAAUGAUCGGUAGCCGGUCUGAGAGGAUGGCCGGCCACACUGGAACUGAGACACGGUCCAGACUCCUACGGGAGGCAGCAGUGGGGAAUAUUGCGCAAUGGGCGAAAGCCUGACGCAGCGACGCCGCGUGGGGGAUGAAGCUUUUCGGAGUGUAAACCCCUUUCGACCCGGACGAAUGACCCGCAAGGGUUUGACGGUACGGGUAUAAGAAGCCCCGGCUAACUACGUGCCAGCAGCCGCGGUAAUACGUAGGGGGCCAGCGUUGCUCGGAAUUACUGGGCGUAAAGGGUUCGUAGGUGGUGCGGCAAGUUGGGAGUGAAAUCUCUGGGCUUAACUCAGAGGCUGCUUUCAAAACUGCCGCGCUCGAGUGCGGGAGAGGCCAGUGGAAUUGCAGGUGUAGCGGUGAAAUGCGUAGAUAUCUGCAGGAACACCCGUGGCGAAGGCGGCUGGCUGGACCGCAACUGACACUGAGGAACGAAAGCUAGGGGAGCAAACAGGAUUAGAUACCCUGGUAGUCCUAGCCCUAAACCAUCGGAACUUGGGGUGGCCCGCGUAGGCGGGUCGUCCCGUAGCUAACGCGUUAAGUUCCGCGCCUGGGGAGUACGGUCGCAAGACUGAAACUC